rnacentral:rRNA from 1 species
UACAGAGGGGGCAAGCGUUGUUCGGAAUUACUGGGCGUAAAGGGCGCGUAGGCGGCCUUCUAAGUCGAACGUGAAAUCCCCGGGCUCAACCCGGGAACUGCGUCCGAUACUGGAAGGCUUGAAUCCGGGAGAGGGAUGCGGAAUUCCAGGUGGAGCGGUGAAAUGCGUAGAGAUCUGGAAGAACACCAAAGGCGAAGGCAGCGUUCUGGCUCGUAACUGACGCUCAUGUGCGAAAGCCAGGGGAGCGAACGGG